rnacentral:rRNA from 1 species
UUUUACGGAGAGUUUGAUCCUGGCUCAGGACGAACGCUGGCGGCGUGCUUAACACAUGCAAGUCGAACGAUGAUGCCCAGCUUGCUGGGUGGAUUAGUGGCGAACGGGUGAGU